UAGAAAUUUAGGAUAAAUACGUAAACCAACGGCCUUCAAAGCCGUAAACAAGAGCCCCCCCCUCUUAAUUUCU
rnacentral:tRNA from 1 species